rnacentral:rRNA from 1 species
GAGUUUGAUCAUGGCUCAGGAUGAACGCUAGCGGGAGGCCUAACACAUGCAAGCCGAGCGGUAUUGUUUCUUCGGAAAUGAGAGAGCGGCGUACGGGUGCGGAACACGUGUGCAACCUGCCUUUAUCUGGGGGGAUAGCCUUUCGAAAGGAAGAUUAAUACUCCAUAAUAUAUUGAACGGCAUCGUUUAAUAUUGAAGCUCCGGCGGAUAGAGAUGGGCACGCGCAAGAUUAGCUAGUUGGUGAGGUAACGGCUCACCAAGGCGAUGAUCUUUAGGGGGCCGUGAGAGGGUGAUCCCCACACUGGUACUGAGACACGGACCAGACUCCUACGGGAGGCAGCAGUGAGGAAUAUUGGUC